GAAAGGUUGGGUAAUUCCCGAUAGUCCCGAAAGGGUAAAGGUUUUCGCUCUGGGAGUUGCCUGCGUAGUAUCAGCUAGUUGGUAGGGUAAUGGCCUACCAAGGCUACGACGCUUAGGGGAGCUGAGAGGCUGACCCCCACCGAUGGAACUGCGACACGGUCCAUACUCCUACGGGAGGCUGCAGACGAGAAUAUUCCGCAAUGGGCGAAAGCCUGACGGAGCGACGCCGCGUGAUUGAUGAAGUGCUUCGGUACGUAAAGAUCUUUUAUCGGGGACGAAGUUUAUUGACGGUACCCGAUGAAUAAGGGGCUCCUAACUCUGUG
rnacentral:rRNA from 1 species